UGGGGAAUUUUGGACAAUGGGCGAAAGCCUGAUCCAGCAAUGCCGCGUGUGUGAAGAAGGCCUUCGGGUUGUAAAGCACUUUUGUCCGGAAAGAAAUCCUUGGCUCUAAUACAGUCGGGGGAUGACGGUACCGGAAGAAUAAGCACCGGCUAACUACGUGCCAGCAGCCGCGGUAAUACGUAGGGUGCAAGCGUUAAUCGGAAUUACUGGGCGUAAAGCGUGCGCAGGCGGUUUGCUAAGACCGAUGUGAAAUCCCCGGGCUCAACCUGGGAACUGCAUUGGUGACUGGCAGGCUAGAGUAUGGCAGAGGGGGGUAGAAUUCCACGUGUAGCAGUGAAAUGCGUAGAGAUGUGGAGGAAUACCGAUGGCGAAGGCAGCCCCCUGGGCCAAUACUGACGCUCAUGCACGAAAGCGUGGGGAGCAAAACAGGAUUAGAUACCCUGGUAGUCCACGCCCUAAACGAUGUCAACUAGUUGUUGGGGAUUCAUUUCCUUAGUAACGUAGCUAACGCGUGAAGUUGACCGCCUGGGGAGUACGGUCGCAAGAUUAAAACUUAAAGGAAUUGACGGGGUCAUA
rnacentral:rRNA from 1 species